GACGAACGCUGGCGGCGUGCUUAACACAUGCAAGUCGAACGGAAAGGCCCUGCUUGCCGGGUGCUCGAGUGGCGAACGGGUGAGUAACACGUGGGUGAUCUGCCCCUUACUUUGGGAUAAGCCUGGGAAACUGGGUCUAAUACUGGAUAGGGCCAUGCUGUAGGUGGUGUGGUGGAAAGAUUAGUUUCGGUAAGGGAUGAGCUCGCGGCCUAUCAGCUUGUUGGUGGGGUAAUGGCCUACCAAGGCGUCGACGGGUAGCCGGCCUGAGAGGGUGGACGGCCACAUUGGGACUGAGAUAUGGCCCAGACUCCUACGGGAGGCAGCAGUGGGGAAUAUUGCACAAUGGGCGCAAGCCUGAUGCAGCGACGCCGCGUGGGGGAUGACGGCCUUCGGGUUGUAAACUCCUUUCAGCCAUGACGAAGCCCUUGUGGUGACGGUAGUGGUAGAAGAAGCACCGGCUAACUACGUG
rnacentral:rRNA from 1 species